UUGAGAUUAGUGGUUAUAGACAGGGCAAAAUGGGUAUUAAGGUUGGCUUGCAUGAUGUUAAGUUUUAUUUCUAAUCCUAAUAACAUAUUAACAUAACAAAUACAUCACACUCAGAUUCGAGUUUUAGUAGGUACAAAUUUAAUUAUUUUGGACGUUCCAUCAGUUUUGACAAAUAUUUACACUUGUCUCGUCACCCGUGAUAGAUGCAUGUAAUAAUGAUCUACAAAAUAA
rnacentral:lncRNA from 1 species